rnacentral:tRNA from 1 species
UCCUCGAUAGCUCAGUUGGUAGAGCAAGCGGCUGUUAACCGCUGGGUCGUAGGUUCGAGUCCUACUCGAGGAGCCA